AUGAAUAUCCUAGUUUGGAACUGCCGGGGGGGGGGGGACCGCCGGACAGUUCGUGAGGUGUUGGCCCUCUCUAAAGCCAAUUCCCCGGGGCUUGUUUUUCUCUCGGAAACAAGACAUGCCUCUUCGAAGAUGGAGAAACUAAAGUGGAGAUUGCAGAUGAAGGGUUUUGCUGGUGUCUCGAGUGAUGGUCUCAGUGCAGGACUUGCGCUCUUUUGGGAUGAGAAGUUG
rnacentral:rRNA from 1 species